ACUUACGGCCACACCUCCCUGAGCAACGCCCGAUCUCGUCUGAUCAUCGAAGCUAAGCAGGGUCGGGCCCGGUUAGUACUUGGAUGGGAGACCGCCUGGGAAUACCAGGUGCUGUAAGCC
rnacentral:rRNA from 1 species